rnacentral:lncRNA from 1 species
UACUAUAGUGCUUUAAAUGUAUGGUAUGGAAGCGGUCUUAGUCUAAUGAAAUGUUAACUUCAGUAAGAUUUUGCUGGCCAGAGAGGGACAAAAAUAUUGAGUGGGUAAAGGGUCUUGGUGCCAUGGGUUUUUUUCCCUUUAGCUUUCUUUCUAGAUGAAGGAGAGUAUGUGGAUAGGCUGUUGAGACUGAAUUAGGUGUGCAUAAUAUGUAUGGAAAAGAAUGUGGUGUGGCUGGCUAGCUGUGGAUAUGCCUUUGGCCAGCCCUCUGUGUGCAUGGGGUCCCUGGAAGGUUAGCUAUGAAGGAAUGCAGCCCUUGGGUUGAAAAACACAUCUCCACCCUUGAACUAUCAUAUACCACAAAUGACAAAUCAUAGGCGCCAUGUUGUCCGUUAUCUAGUCCAUGGGAGAAGUUAACCUGUGACAUAAUAGAGCCAUUUGAUUACCUAUAAAGCUUUAUAUGGCCCAGGACCUCAAUACCUUAAGGACCGCCUCUCUCAAUCCAAACCAAGCCAGAUCCUGCAAUUGUCAUCCAGUGCCCUUCUCCACAUUCUCCUGCCCCAAGGCGUUGACAAGACGAGAAUGAGCCUUUUCUGUGGUGGCUCCCUAUCUGUGGAAUGCUCUCCCCAGAGAGUCUUGUCUAAUGCCAGGUGAAAACAUUCCUCUUUACCCAGGCCUUUGACCAUUAAACAAGCUAUGGCCUUUUAAAUGUGGGGGGAUUGUUAUUAUGAUCCCCCCCCACCGUGAUUGUUUAAUUGUCUUUUGUUACUAUACAAUAUAAAUUAGGUUUUUAAUGUUGUACACUGCUGUGGGAUCUUCGGAUAAAGGGCAGUAUAUAAAUUGAAUAAUAAAAAUAAAUUAAUAAUAAUCAGUUAAUUGGACAAAUAGUUGCCCUAGUAUGAUAUGUUGUCAUUCAGAAGUGGUCUAAAAAUUACCAGAGAUGUUAAUUUAAUUCAUGCCUUUAGUUUUUGCUGGAAACAGUUCCUAAACACCUUGUGGUAUAUAUUGGGAUUUACCGGUAAUUAAUCUGUAUGGAAACGCAGAAAUACCUACACAAUAAUGGAAUUUCACGCAAAACUAUUUGCUUACACCAUCUAAGAUCCAAUGUUUCAGCUGAGAAAAAUAUCAGAUUGGGAAAAAAGAGAGCCUUCAUUUUGUUAGACAGGAAACGGUGACAUUUGGUGACUCCUUAUGAGCAUUGUCCUGGAGCUAAAGUAACCUCAUGAUCCAGACAAGUAUAACAAGUGUAACCGUUUCAAGUGGGUGCAGGAUAUCAAAGCAGUGUCAGUAGCAUACAUGGAACAAAAUGAAUUUAAGCACAGAAAGAAGUAAUAAAAAGGAUAUAGCUAUACCAGUCAAUUAUAUACAUUUUGCUGUAAUGAGGUAUGAAUAUCUGAAGACUAGCCUUGACCAGACAAUGAACUGCUGAAUAUGUGGAAUGGUGGGGUUUGGGAUCAUGGUGGCUCCUGACCUUCAUGUAUUUAAACAAAAUAUAGGUUGAGGGCCAUAGCUCAGUGGUAGAGCAUCUGCUUUGCAUGCAGAUUCUCAGGUGACUCCUGCCUGUAAAUGAGAAUACACCAUAGCUUCCUACGUGCCUAAAAUUGGAACAGAGCUUAUUCCUACACAACCCCAUACUCCCAUUCUAGGAGGUAAACUGUGUCUACUACAAAACCAUUUUUCAGUACGUACUGUAUUGUGAUCUGUUUGAGAAGUUAGAUACAGUUCUGCUGUAGAUGUAAUGCCUUCCACAGCAUAUUUGAGAAACUUGCUUGCUUUUGGACCACAAAUUGUAACUUACAAGCAUGCAAUUUGUGAGCACUGUGACUGUAGUAAGAAAAAUAAGUACAGCAUUAGGAAUGGUCAUGGCUGUCACCUUUACUACAGUAUGAAGCAAUAAGACUUAAUGGUUUUCCAGCUCCCACAAGGCCAUGUGAGUCAUUUAGGUCUACUUUGCUAAGAUUACAUGUUUUUCUAAGACAAUUUUGGUUGUUCCAUCCUACUCUAACACACCUUAACAAGUAGAAUUGUAGACUAUAAUUAUUAUUUUCUAUAUUUAUUUUUCAGGGAUUUAUUAAGGAGUGUAUGUUUGUGUAAAAUGGUGAAUACAUCUAUGCUCUAAAUUUAAAAUGGUUUAUAUAAUCAUCAACGUACCCUGGCAAGGGAACUAUAGCUCUGUGGGGGAGGGAUAGACAGCUUAGUUUGUGCAAACUACAAUUUCCAGGAUUAUCUGGGAGAAGCUGCAAAAGUUAAACUGCUGUAAAACUGAUAAUUUUAUGGAAAUGCCACUACUGGGUCUAUUAGCUUGGUCCAGGCAUUAGAUUCUGGCCUUUUGGUGGUUCCCUGAACUAAAUUCUGUGCUUCUGAAUCCUGGAACUUGGAUCUAUUGUCAUAACUUUUUCUGAAGCACAGUUUGAACUGGUGCAUAUUUACUGAUUUGCAGAUGCUCUGUCAGUGAGCCAUGUCCCUUCCUUUGCAUAAUGACAGUCAUUGCUGAAAAUCAGCACAGAUUGAUUCAGAGAACCACAAAAGUUACAUGGUAAGAAGUUUGAAAGAAUCGGGAGUUUUAAACUGUUAUACUUUUAAGAGAGGCUGCUCAUAGCUCAACAAAAGGAUGUCAAGAGUCUUGCAACUGUGGGGAGUUUGUAAUGCAGACUCCACCUGCUGUAAAUGUCUGGCCCAUUAGGUUUGCAAUCCUAUACACACUUACCUGGGAGUAUGUCUCAAUGGGAUUCACUUCUGAGUAGACACAUAUGGGAUUACGAUCUAAGAAGCGUGGCAGGUUACAUAUUGCUGGAAAAGAGGAAAAGCUUCAUCAAAAAAGAGAAUAAAAGAGAAGAACAAAUUGCAUCAGAUUUGAAAUAGAAAUACAAUAUAUUUCACCAUAAUGGAGAAGACUAAACAGGUGACUUGCACGGCUGCUCAGGUGAUUCUUUAUCUUUAUCUUUCUUUAUCUUAUCAGACUUGACCCCAAUAAUCCUUCAAAUAGAGAACUCUGUUAGGCUGAGGGCUGCCCUCUGUAAUGGAGGAUGCAAAGCCCUCUUAGGCCUAGGAGUUGGGUCACAGCCUGCUUUGAGUCUGCCUGGAUUCAAAAUGCUUCUGUCAUUUUCCUGCCAGCCGCCUCUUCUCUUUGCAAGCCAAAAAAAGCCAAACUUUGGGAUAGGGUAACAGACUCCUUUUUACACAGGUGAAGGCAGCUACCCUUGGCAGGAAAUGACACUCUGAGCAACACCAUUUUCUACCGAAGGAUCGUGGGACGUAGUUUUCUGUCUUCAGGUCACUUGGUCCCUCAGCAGGAAGUGAUGUUCCACACAGUAUUUACAGUUAAGGAGAGGGCUAGCGAGGAAAGGAGCCCUCAGCUGUCAACUAGUCCCUUCCCCAAGUCAGUUUUUUUGACUUGAAGAAGGUGGGGUGACUGGUAAGGAAGGAGGGAGUAAAAUAAAAUAAAGUAUCAGCUGGUCAUGUUCAGGUGUUCAUAUUUAAUGUUUCAGGCAGGGUCGGAUUUAGGUUUCAUGAGGCCCUAAGCUACUGAAGGUAAUGGGACCCUCUAUAUGUCUAGCUGUCCUUUGUCAACAACAAAGUGUCUCUGUUUUUUUGGUUGAAUAUAUGCUAUAUGGUAAUUUAUGGACCUAAUAGGUAUCUAAAGCCAUUUGCACAAGUUGCCAUGUAACCAGUCCAUGCAGAAUGUUGAAAUGAGCAAACCAGCGAUAUUUUAGGGAGCAGGCGGGGCCCAUUAUUUAUAUCAUAGGAGCCUACACAACAUAAAACACAGUUGCUGUAUGUAGGUUUUAUUUUAUUUGUUUCUUAUCUUAUAUUUUGGAAAUGUACAUCCCGUUUUUUUCCCUUUAAUUUUUUUUGGGGCCCCCAAGAGUGUGGGACCCUAAGCUAUAGCUUGUUUAGCUUAUACGUAAAUCUGGCACUGGUUUCAGAAAUGCUCAAAUGUCCAAAAAGCUUAAUUUAUUUUCAGGGCAGUUUGUGGAAGAUGCUCAUUAUAGAGUGGUCUUGCUGCAUUUCUGCAGUUGUGAUUGCUGCCUGCUGAGUUCAGACUGAGCUAUAUUUAGACGAAUGAUGUGGGUGGUAAAAGUGACACCCAGUACUGUAGGAAACAAGUCUCCUCACGUGUAUUCUCGGCAGCCUUCCAGGUAAUCAUUCUUACCCAUAGCUACAAAUACUGGGUAGGACUUGAAGUGUGGAAAUUAGGUUUCCAAAUAUC